rnacentral:lncRNA from 1 species
CUUUGGCAUCUGCAGAGUCGCUGGAGCCGGUGUCCUGGAGGGAGGGCCCCAGUGGGCACAGCACACUGCCUCGGUCUCCCCGAGAUGCCCCAUGCAGUGCUUCGUCAGAGUUGUCUGGUCCCUCCACGCCCCUGCACACCAGCAGUCCAGUCCAGGGCAAGGAAAGCACCCGGCGACAGGACACCAGGUCCCCCACCUCAGCGCCCACUCAGAGACUGAGUCCUGGCGAGGCCUUGCCCCCUGUUUCCCAGGCAGGCACCGGAAAGGCCCCUGAGCUGCCGUCGGGAAGUGGGCCUGAGCCUCUGGCCCCUAGCCCAGUCUCUCCGACCUUCCCUCCCAGCUCGCCCAGUGACUGGCCUCAGGAAAGGAGUCCAGGGGGCCACUCAGAUGGCGCCAGUCCUCGGAGCCCUGUGCCCACCACACUUCCUGGCCUCCGCCACGCCCCCUGGCAAGGCCCUCGAGGCCCCCCCGACAGCCCAGAUGGGUCUCCCCUCACUCCUGUGCCUUCCCAGAUGCCCUGGCUUGUGGCCAGCCCAGAGCCGCCUCAGAGCUCACCUACACCUGCUUUCCCCCUGGCUGCCUCCUAUGACACCAAUGGCCUUAGCCAGCCCCCACUUCCUGAGAAACGCCACCUGCCCGGGCCGGGGCAACAGCCAGGACCCUGGGGCCCAGAGCAGGCAUCAUCGCCAGCCAGAGGCAUCAGUCACCAUGUCACCUUCGCACCUCUGCUCUCAGAUAAUGUCCCCCAAACCCCAGCCUCCUACACAAGAGAGCCAAAGCAAUGUCAAGUUUGUCCAGGAUACAUCCAAGUUCUGGUACAAGCCACACCUGUCCCGUGACCAAGCCAUUGCCCUGCUGAAGGACAAGGACCCUGGGGCCUUCCUGAUCAGGGACAGUCAUUCAUUCCAAGGAGCUUAUGGGCUGGCCCUCAAGGUGGCCACACCGCCACCCAGUGCCCAGCCCUGGAAAGGGGACCCCGUGGAACAGCUGGUCCGCCAUUUCCUCAUCGAGACUGGGCCCAAAGGGGUGAAGAUCAAGGGCUGCCCCAGUGAGCCCUACUUUGGCAGCCUGUCCGCCUUGGUCUCCCAGCAC